UGCUCGCUUCGGCAGCACUAUACUAAAAUUGGAACGAUACAGAGAAGAUGAGCAUGGCCCCUGCACAAGGAUGACAUGCAAGUUCAUGAAGCACUCCAUAUUUAA